rnacentral:rRNA from 1 species
CCUACGGGUGGCAGCAGUGAGGAAUAUUGGUCAAUGGACGCAAGCCUGAACCAGCCAAGUAGCGUGAAGGAUGACUGCCCUACGGGUUGUAAACUUCUUUUAUAAGAGAAUAAAGUGAGGCACGUGUGCCUUUUUGUAUGUAUUUUAUGAAUAAGGAUCGGCUAACUCCGUGCCAGCAGCCGCGGUAAUACGGAGGAUCCGAGCGUUAUCCGGAUUUAUUGGGUUUAAAGGGAGCGUAGAUGGGGUGUUAAGUCAGUUGUGAAAGUUUGAGGCUCAACAGUAAAAUUGCAAUUGAUACUGGCAGCAUUGAGUAUAGGUGAGGUAGGCGGAAUGCGUGGUGUAGCGGUGAAAUGCUUAGAGAUCACGAAGAACUCCGAUUGCGAAGGCAGCCUACUAAACUGCGACUGACAUUGAUGCUCGAAAGUGUGGGUAUCAAACAGGAUUAGAUACCCUUGUAGUC